CCCCACACACGAGGAAGAGGGGACCAGGACAGCUUGGAGUGAGGACCAGACGGGGCUGUGGGGACAAGGAGGCAGGGGGCGGCCAGCAAAGCAAGACCCGGGUCACCGGGGAAGGAAACCAGCUCUGCCACACGUGGAGAAGAGCCAACGGGAACACAGGCAGGGGCUCACGAGGCACUCAGCAGGCCUCGCCUUCCGAAGCAGCCAGCGCCCUCCGGAACUGCGAGAUGGUGCCCACCUGGCAUCAGUCCACGCCCCUCUGCCACCUUCGCCCAUGCCCUCCUGGCCCCUCUCCUGGCGGGCCCUUCCCUCAUGGGACACACUGGAUGACU
rnacentral:antisense_RNA from 1 species